AACACUGGGACUGAGACACUGCCCAGACUCCUACGGGAGGCUGCAGUCGAGAAUCUUUCGCAAUGGGCGCAAGCCUGACGAAGCGACGCCGUGUGAGCGAAGAAGGCCUUCGGGUUGUAAAGCUCUUUCGCUAGGGAACAAGAAAUGUGGGAUAACACCCCACAUUUGAUGGUACUUGGUAAAGAAGCACCGGCUAACUCC
rnacentral:rRNA from 1 species